AUACUUACCUGGCAGGGGAGAUACCAUGAUCACGAAGGUGGUUUUCCCAGGGCUAGGCUUAUCCAUUGCACUCUGGAUGUGCUGACCCCUGCGAUUUCCCCAAAUGUGGGAAACUCGACUGCAUAAUUUGUGGUAGUGGGGGACUGCAUUCGCGCUCUCCCCUG
rnacentral:snRNA from 1 species